UGGGGAAUAUUGCACAAUGGGCGCAAGCCUGAUGCAGCCAUGCCGCGUGUGUGAAGAAGUCCUUCGGGUUGUAAAGCACUUUCAGCGGGGAGGAAGGCGAUAAGGUUAAUAACCUCAUCGAUUGACGUUACCCGCAGAAGAAGCACCGGCUAACUCCGUGCCAGCAGCCGCGGUAAUACGGAGGGUGCAAGCGUUAAUCGGAAUUACUGGGCGUAAAGCGCACGCAGGCGGUUUGUUAAGUCAGAUGUGAAAUCCCCGGGCUCAACCUGGGAACUGCAUCUGAUACUGGCAAGCUUGAGUCUCGUAGAGGGGGGUAGAAUUCCAGGUGUAGCGGUGAAAUGCGUAGAGAUCUGGGGGAAUACCGGUGGCGAAGGCGGCCCCCUGGACGAAGACUGACGCUCAGGUGCGAAAGCGUGGGGAGCAAACAGG
rnacentral:rRNA from 1 species